GGGGUCGUUACGGAUUCGACAGGCAUUAUGAGGCAUAUUUUGCGACUCGUGUGGCGACGUAAACGCUCAGUUAAAUAUAACUGCAAAAAAUAACACUUCUUACGCUCUAGCUGCCUAAAAACCAGCAGGCGUGACCCGAUUUGGAUUGCUCGUGUUCAAUGACAGGUCUUAUUAUUAGCGAGCGAGAUACGAUUAAGCCUUGUCUAGCGGUUUGAUAAGAGAUUGAUAGACUCGCAGUUUCUAGACUUGAGUUAUGUGUCGAGGGGCUGUUAAAAUAAUACAUAACCUAUGGUUGUAGACAAAUAUGUUGGCAGGUGUUUGGACGUGGGUUCGACUCCCACCGGCUCCA
rnacentral:tmRNA from 1 species